GUGAAAGGCUGUAAUAAUUUAGUUAUUCAUAACUUACUCUGUUUAAUGUGUAUCUCUCCUUAAAAUAAUUUGCAUAAUUGAAGAUCAUACAAUUAGUAGUAAGAAAUCAAUAGAUUACUAAGGGAAUAACAGUACUUAAUGAAUGAAUAAUUUCUUCCAAUGAGAAUAUACUUAUGAUAUAAUACUUUUGCUAUAACUCUGUUUUUUGUUUGAGUUUUUAUGCAUCUGUAGGUCGGAAAGUCUGAUCAUAUAUCCAGUACUGAGGAAGCCAGGUACAAAUGAAAGAAGAUACUUCAUGAUUGCUGAACAACAAUGCUCACCCUCAGUAUUUAGAGGAUACAAGUUCUUCAAGUCAAGUUUUCCUCUGUGCAGCUGUCUUCAUCUAGGAAAAAUCACAUUAACCAUUGUUGUGAAAGGCUGAAAAUCUCUUUGAUGCUCUUGACUAAGCACUAAAAGCCAGGUAACAUUAUCCAUUUGUGCAUUCCUGUUUUAUAAGUAGCCAAACUUUAGUUUUAUAUU
rnacentral:lncRNA from 1 species